AUUGAACGCUGGCGGCAUGCUUUACACAUGCAAGUCGAACGGUAACAGGGUGCUUGCACCGCUGACGAGUGGCGAACGGGUGAGUAAUGCAUCGGAAUGUACCGUGUAAUGGGGGAUAGCUCGGCGAAAGCCGGAUUAAUACCGCAUACGCCCUGAGGGGGAAAGUGGGGGACCGAAAGGCCUCACGUUAUACGAGCAGCCGAUGUCUGAUUAGCUAGUUGGUGAGGUAAAGGCUCACCAAGGCGUCGAUCAGUAGCGGGUCUGAGAGGAUGAUCCGCCACACUGGGACUGAGACACGGCCCAGACUCCUACGGGAGGCAGCAGUGGGGAAUUUUGGACAAUGGGCGCAAGCCUGAUCCAGCCAGGCCGCGUGUCUGAAGAAGGCCUUCGGGUUGUAAAGGACUUUUGUCCGGGAGCAAAUCCUAGUGGUUAAUAACCGCUGGGUCUGAGAGUACCGGAAGAAUAAGCACCGGCUAACUACGUG
rnacentral:rRNA from 1 species